rnacentral:lncRNA from 1 species
AAAAUUGUUUAAUUUUAGCAAUUCAAUCCAAAAAUAUAUGAAAUUUUAUUGCAAUAAAGUAAUCAAAAUUGCAUGGCUACAUCAAAUUAGGAACAGUCUCUCCAGAGUUCUGUCAUGGUGAAUAUGUUACCAAUGCCCAUUGCACAAAUUGGAUCUGCAAAGAUGAAGACAGACCAAAUUAAUAUACAAAAUUCUGUUGAAACCCAUAAAAAUAAAAGAAUCUGUAGAGUCCCAGAAGUGAAAAAAUAUAAGAAAUGCCAACCUCAAAGGACAAGGCAAAUGUGGGUUUCCAUUGUAAUGAGAUGAUCUAGAUCAGCUGUGAAUAAAAAGGAAGAAAAUGACAAAGAAGCAGAAGAAAAUAUUGGAAAGUAUCAUGAUUAUAUUAGCUUUUCUUUAAGCUGUGUAGGUCUGUGAUUCUCUUGGCCUUUGCCAAGUCUUCU